CACACUAUUACCCAUAAUUACCAGGAAUAUCGUAAAAAUUGUUGUUGAAAUUAACCGUCUUUAUUGGCAAGUGGAACUAACACCCACCACCCAAUAAGUUUAGGCCUGCAUGAGCUUGACUUGUCUUUUUGAGUAGUCACAGUCACCAUUUUCAAACAAAUUGACUAGCUAAUUUUUACCAUCCGUUGCGGUGUUUGUUGUUCGUGCCUUGAAAUAACACCAAAGGGCAAAGCCCGAGAAAGAAAAGAUAUUUAAAAAAAAAAAAGAGAGAGAGAGAGAGUGAAUUCCAGGGGUUCAAGUGAAAUCCCUUCAAAGGAAGAUAUUUCAUACGCAGUGUGGGUGGGUGGGUGCAUGUGAGAAACUUGUGCCUCUUUGUGCCUGAAGUGCUAUGCGUUGAUCUAUAUUGCUGCCAUGCGUUGUGACGCUGCGUGUUUCUGGAACUUGACAAAGAUGGUUCAAGACUGCGAUGGAGGUUUCCGUGGCGGACGAUCUCGGGAGUCCCGGAUUCAUGGGAGGUCGCCGGUGUCUCCAAAGACGAGGAUCCCAUGCCCUAGCAAGACCUGGACGACGCGUCGUCUUUGGUUUCCUCAAAUCAUAUCAACCGGUUCACAUGAAACCCUAAAGGUAUUGUAAGC